AUGAGGCGGUAUUGUUUGAGGAAAGGAAACAAUUGACAUCUACAGUCUAAAUAGUGUUGGAAGAAAGCAAGUAUUUCCAAGUUAACAAGAGUAUCAUCAUCAACAUCAAGUAAUACAAACCUCUGAGGUCACAGAGGUGGAUUCUUUACCUGCUGAACCAUCAGGGAAUCCCCUUAUCCGAGCUGUCAUACACUUUGAUG